CUGUCAAGGAUAAUGUUAUUAGAAGUAAUUUUACAAAGAAGGCAAGUUCUCGGUUGUCAAACAUUUUUUACGAAGCUCGGAAAAAAGGUCAAAAACCUGGCUGACUUGGGACAGAUUACUGGGAGGAGCUUAAUCAAUACUGGGCUACACCGGAGUUUCAAAAGAAGAGCAACCAGACAAAGGCAUCUCGAAAGUCUGAGAAGGGUGGCUCAUUGCACACUUGUGGUUCAGUGUCCAUGGGGACUGCUAGGAGGAAAUUGCAAGUUACUUUUGGUAGACCACCCAAUCGUCAUGAGGUAUGGAAGAAGACACAUACGAAAAUUGAAGACGAAAAAGAAGUUUGGGUCGAGCCACGGGCAGAGGAUACCUAUAUGAAAUAUAUGGUCCCAGCCAGAACAAUUAUGAGCAUUUCAUCUUUUGCGCCCUUGCCAUUAGCAUAGCAUGUUAUCCACAGCUUUUCCUCAGUCCAUGAAUCGGUAUAAUCAAGCGAUGAAGGAGCUCACUAGGAGUUAGUCAACCGAUGAUCAAGGCAAUACAAUUAUGCCAUCGGAGGAACAAACUAUCUCCUGUUGGUUGGACGUGGUCGGCGGCGUGAAUAAGGAAAGAGCAUACGGCCUUUGCUCCGAGAAGAACUUUCACCGCCUCCAGUGUGGAUUGCAAGGUAUAGGAAGUUCUGCCACUGUGUCAAAUGAGCAGCUUGAGGAGAUACGACACGAACUUCGGGAACUUGCUAGGAAUUAUGAGGAGGAACGUAAGAAAAGGUUGGAGGAGGAGCGACGUAGGAUAAAUCUUGAGUCAGAUGUCAAAGAACUCAAGAAUCAGGUGUGUAACCUCAUCAAGUUGCCUCGCUCUCCGCCCCCGAGCCCCGAUCAUGAUGAUGGUGAGGAUGAGGAGGAUCAGGAGCAUGGAGAGGCUGAAAUGGAGUAUUAGGUGUCCGUUGUUAUUUUUGUUCUAACUUAUGUUAUUUUGGAUUGUUUGAAGUCUAGUGGGAUGCUUUUGAUAUAUGUUUGGAUAACGUUGACGUUGGUUGGAUUCGUACGUUUUUUGUUGGCUUAAUUUUAAUGUUUGAAUUAUUUUGAUGUGUUUUUAUUAUUGUUUUGAUGGCUGUUGUUGGAUGCGUUUCUGAUUCUUAUUGAAUCAGCUACUGAAAUGUUUUUUACAACAGGUGCUACAGUGAAAAAUAGGCAAUGCUUGCCAAAAUAUUACCAGAA